AUUGAACGCUGGCGGCAGGCCUAACACAUGCAAGUCGAGCGGGGUUUUCGGACCUAGCGGCGGACGGGUGAGUAAUGCGUAGGAAGCUACCCGAUAGAGGGGGAUACCAGUUGGAAACGACUGUUAAUACCGCAUAAUGUCUACGGACCAAAGUGUGGGACCUUCGGGCCACAUGCUAUCGGAUGCGCCGACGUGGGAUUGGCUAGUUGGUGGGGUAAUGGCUCACCAAGGCGACGAUCCCUAGCUGGUUUGAGAGGAUGAUCAGCCACACUGGAACUGAGACACGGUCCAGACUCCUACGGGAGGCAGCAGUGGGGAAUAUUGGACAAUGGGCGCAAGCCUGAUCCAGCCAUGCCGCGUGUGUGAAGAAGGCCUUCGGGUUGUAAAGCACUUUCAGUAGGGAGGAAGGGUGUUGUGUUAAUAGCACAGCAUUUUGACGUUACCUACAGAAGAAGCACCGGCUAACUCUGUGCCAGCAGCCGCGGUAACAC
rnacentral:rRNA from 1 species